rnacentral:snRNA from 1 species
GUGCUAGCCGGCAGCACAUAUACUAAAAUUGGAACAAUACAGAAAAGACUACCAACGGCCUGCUGCAAGGAUGACAUGCAAAUUUGUGAAGCAUUCCACAUUAAA